rnacentral:rRNA from 1 species
CGCUGGCGGCGUGCCUAAUACAUGCAAGUCGAACGGCUUUUCAUGGAAGCUUGCUUCCACUGAGAAGAUAGUGGCGAACGGGUGAGUAACACGUGGGUAACCUGCCCAUAAGAGGGGGGAUAACAUCCGGAAACGGGUGCUAAUACCGCAUAGUUUUCUUGAUCGCAUGAUUGAGAAAGGAAAGACGGCCUUUGUGCUGUCGCUUAUGGAUGGACCCGCGGCGUAUUAGUUAGUUGGUGAGGUAACGGCUCACCAAGACGAUGAUACGUAGCCGACCUGAGAGGGUGAUCGGCCACAUUGGGACUGAGACACGGCCCAAACUCCUACGGGAGGCAGCAGUAGGGAAUCUUCCGCAAUGGACGAAAGGUCUGACGGAGCAACGCCGCGUGAGUGAAGAAGGUUUUCGGAAUCGUAAAACUCUGUUGUCAGAGAAGAACAAGUUGGAGAGUAACUGCUCCAGCCUUGACGGUAUCUGACCAGAAAGCCACGGCUAACUACGUGCCAGCAGCUGC